rnacentral:rRNA from 1 species
UACGGGGGGGGGCAAGCGUUGCUCGGAAUCACUGGGCGUAAAGGGCGCGUAGGCGGGGAGGUAAGUCGGGUGUGAAAUCCCUCGGCCCAACCGAGGAACUGCGCCCGAGACUGCUUCUCUUGAGUCCCGGAGAGGAAGAUGGAAUUCCCGGUGUAGCGGUGAAAUGUGUAGAGAUCGGGAGGAACACCGGUGGCGAAGGCGGUCUUCUGGACGGUGACUGACGCUGAGGCGCGAAAGCGUGGGGAGCGAACAGG